GUUGGCCAAACUGCAGAUGAUUCGUUUAAGGUGAGUUUCAGGCUGAAGAGAAGAGAGAGACCUGCGGCUGUUUCCGCCCACUCGUCCCAGCACAGCCACCAGAGAACGCCGCGUGGUUUGUUGUUUGGACCCUCCCAGAGCCUCUUCCAGAUGCUGUUGGAAAAAAAGAAAAGAAAAGCUGGGCAGCCAGUGUCACAGCCCAGAUGCCAUCUCGGUCUAUCCGCGGAAAUGCAAGCACGCAGCGCCAAGCCCAACCCAGUAGGUGCCAGGCCCUGGGUGCAGGCUUCAGCUUCACGCCACAUCCUCUCUCUCUUUUCAGUCUCUGAGUGACUUGACUCAGCCAGGGAGAGGAGAUACCUACACAUCCGCAUGAAGGCGCGUGGGAGGAAGCCGAGAAAUGACGGAUGGCGCAGGGCCUACUGCAGCCGCACGUAGACUAGCUCCUUCUUUACGGGCAAAACCCCCUACUUGUCUGCAGUGGGAAAGGAGUCCGUUCAGGGCAAGCUCUGAUCGCUGAGCUAUGGAUGUAGAUGGUAACUAGGCGUCUGGAGGUCAUUACACACCAUAUUCGGAUGGUGGAAAUCAUUGCUUAUUUCAGGACACUAAAAUGGUCCAUUUUUAUGUAUUAAAGUUAUUAAGAAUGAACUGGCUGGGCCGGAGUUGUGGCUCACUCCUGUAAUCCCAAGACUUAAGGAGGCGGAGGCGGAGGCGGAGGCGGGAGGAUCGUUUGAGGCCAGGAGUUCAAGACCAGACUGGGCAACAUAGUGAGAUACACACCCCACCGCCACCACCACCCCAACAAAAAACUUAACAAUUAGCUGGGCUUGUGGGUAUGUGACUUAGUCCCAGCUACUCCGGAGGCUGAGGUGGGAGGAUCACUGGAGUCCAGGAGCUCCAGGCUGCAGUGAGCUAUGUGAUUACACCGCUGCACUCUAGGCUGGGCAACAGAGGGAGACUCAAAAAAAAAAAAAAAAGAGCAAAUGGCUGGCUCACUGUAAGGAAUUUUGGAAUUUUAUCUGGUUAAAACAGGCUCUUCCCGCCCACUUCCUCACCCGCCUGGCUGUGCCUGCCCCAGUCCCACCCUGAGUGGUGGCUUACCCAGGUGUGGCCGCCCUGUGGUCAGCUCAGGAGGCAUCUCCGGGUGGGAAGGUGACUUAGUUGUCUCACAGUAAAGUUACACUGGGCCUCAGUAGAUAGUCUUUGGUCCCCUGUAUCAGCAUCCCCAGAGAGCUGUGCAAAUGCACAUUCCUGGCCCUAUGGCACUCUAAGCUGGACUCUGGGAGUGGCAGCUCAGAAGCUUUAGUAUAAGCAAGCUCCCGGCUGUUUCUUGUUGCAGAUUAGGGUUUGAGAACCACUCCUCUUUCGCCACAUUGUAAACUCACUAAAUGCUCUCCUAGUGAGUAAAUAAAUAUAAUAGAAUCUAACUCCUGCAAAGGUAUUAACCAGUCUGUCUAACAAUGGUGGACAUUUUUGUAAAGAAACUCUUGAAGUUUUCAAAACUUAAGUUUAAAAUGGCAGCUCCUUGGUUUGUGGGGAGAGCUGUCAGAGUGGGAACCCUGUCCACAUCCCCCCAGAUAUUCACAUACACCCACUACUCAUAGACUCCCAAUCCCAUGGCGAAGAACACGAUCUUGUUGGUGUUAUUUUCUCACUGCCUACCAAGCUGCCCAGCAGGCACUUUACAGACUUUAUCUCCAUAUUCAUAUCAGCGUACAAAGUACAAGUCCCAAUUUCCAGACAAGGAAACUGGGGUUCAGAAAGAUUAAACAAUUUGCCUUCUUAUAUUGCUACUAAGGGCCAAGGUGCAGAUUCAAAUCCAUUCAAGUCCCAAAGCUUGCAUGAUCUUACCACAGUCACCAAAAUCUAUUUCAUAAGUUCAAAAUGGCAUCAGAGGUUCAUAAUCAGGACAGGCAAUGCCCUGCAGGUUUAUCUAGAACACCUUUCCCACUUUACAGAUAAGAGGCAAUGCAGUAUGAACCUGAGGCUAGCUGAUAUGAUUUGUCUGAGCUGCUUAGUUUUGUUUAAGAAACUUGAAUUAUUCAAUAUUGAAAAUCCUUGAGAUUUUACACUAAAACUCAGACUUUUUCUCUCUUAUAAAAGCAGAUUUUUGUAACCCCGAACCCCAUUCCUGAUUCUGUUCAUGGUUAACUGUAUAGGUUUUGAAAUCCACAGACGUGGGUUUGAGUCCUGG
rnacentral:lncRNA from 1 species